rnacentral:rRNA from 1 species
GAUGAACGCUAGCGGGAGGCCUAAUACAUGCAAGUCGAACGGUAACAGGGUAGCAAUACCGCUGACGAGUGGCGCACGGGUGAGUAACACGUACACAACCUGCCUUAUACUGGGGAAUAGCCCUGGGAAACUAGGAUUAAUACCCCAUAACAUAUCGAAAAGGCAUCUUUUUGAUAUUAAAACUCCGGUGGUAUAAGAUGGGUGUGCGUCUGAUUAGCUAGUUGGCGAGGUAACGGCUCACCAAGGCAACGAUCAGUAACUGGUCUGAGAGGAUGAUCAGUCACACGGGCACUGAGACACGGGCCCGACUCCUACGGGAGGCAGCAGUAGGGAAUAUUGGACAAUGGGCGCAAGCCUGAUCCAGCCAUCCCGCGUGAAGGAUUAAGGCCCUCUGGGUUGUAAACUUCUUUUUUUGGGAAUAAAAACCGGAAUUUUUUCUGGCUUGAAGGUACCCAUAGAAUAAGCACCGGCUAACUCCGUGCCAGCAGCCGCCGUAACAC